rnacentral:rRNA from 1 species
GACGAACGCUGGCGGCGUGCCUAAUACAUGCAAGUUGAGCGCUGAAGGUUGGUACUUGUACCGACUGGAUGAGCAGCGAACGGGUGAGUAACGCGUGGGGAAUCUGCCUUUGAGCGGGGGACAACAUUUGGAAACGAAUGCUAAUACCGCAUAAAAACUUUAAACACAAGUUUUAAGUUUGAAAGAUGCAAUUGCAUCACUCAAAGAUGAUCCCGCGUUGUAUUAGCUAGUUGGUGAGGUAAAGGCUCACCAAGGCGAUGAUACAUAGCCGACCUGAGAGGGUGAUCGGCCACAUUGGGACUGGGACACGGCCCAAACUCCUACGGGAGGCAGCAGUAGGGAAUCUUCGGCAAUGGACGAAAGUCUGACCGAGCAACGCCGCGUGAGUGAAGAAGGGUUUCGGAUCGUAAAACUCUGUUGGUAGAGAAGAACGUUGGUGGGAGUGGAAAGCUCAUCAAGUGACGGUAACUACCCAGAAAGGGACGGCUAACUACGUG